UACGGAGGGUGCAAGCGUUGUCCGGAAUCACUGGGCGUAAAGGGAGCGUAGGCGGCUCAUGAAGGCUGUGGUGAAAGUCCGGGGCUCAACCUCGGAUCGGCCGUGGCGACUCGUGGGCUGGAGCACUGUAGAGGCGGGUGGAAUUCCGGGUGUAGCGGUGGAAUGCGUAGAGAUCCGGAAGAACACCGGUGGCGAAGGCGGUCUGCUGGGCCAACACUGACGCUGAGGCGCGACAGCGUGGGGAGCAAACAGG
rnacentral:rRNA from 1 species